rnacentral:rRNA from 1 species
UACGUAGGGUGCAAGCGUUGUCCGGAAUUAUUGGGCGUAAAGAGCUCGUAGGCGGUCUGUCGCGUCGGCUGUGAAAUCCCGGAGCUCAACUCCGGGUCUGCGGUCGAUACGGGCAAACUGGAGUACUGCAGGGGAGACUGGAAUUCCUGGUGUAGCGGUGAAAUGCGCAGAUAUCAGGAGGAACACCGGUGGCGAAGGCGGGUCUCUGGGCAGUAACUGACGCUGAGGAGCGAAAGCGUGGGGAGCGAACAGG